ensembl:snoRNA
AAGCGUGCUAUCCUAAGGACCGGGGCUUGUUUGUAGCUCUAGGUUCUCCAAGUGCAUGCAAGAGAAAAAGGGUCGUCUUUGACUGCUGUGGCCUUUUCAUGCCGUUUGCAACCACUCAACGAUCCUACAGAU